CGCGGGGUGGAGCAGUCCGGUAGCUCGCGAGGCCCAUAACCUCGAGGUCGGCGGUUCAAAUCCGCCCCCCGCUACCA
rnacentral:tRNA from 1 species